GGGGAGGGUCCCCACAGGCCAGCUCCUUGCUCACCUUCUCACCCCCUGAGGCAUCCGGAGGCCUGACCCUGAGCCCCAGCACAGAGCCCAGCAGCACCAAGCACAGCUUUGCCCAGGAGCAGUACAGUCAUGGAGACCACACAGACACUUUAAAAAUUCAACAGAAAGAUCAUCUUUCUGGUAGAAAUAAACAAACAAAAAAACAGAAGGAGUCCAGCGUAACCAGGACUGCCAAGAGUAAAGGGGAAACCAAAAGCAGAGUCCAUGAAGGUAGAAACUCUAAAUUCUGUGUAUAGACUCAGCUCAGGUCUCCGGCAAACUCCUGAACCAUGCAUGUAUGGGGCAAACUCAAAGAGAUUUACAGCCAAAGCUUAAAGAACUGAACUGAGAUAUGAGCCAUCACAGCAUGGCAGGGUAGAGUUGGGUCUAACCAAAUUCAUUACCUAAAACAAAAACCUUAGUGCUGCUCAGAACAAUAAUAAAACAGAAUCCAAAGUC